rnacentral:rRNA from 1 species
CGGACGGGUGAGUAAUGUCUGGGAAACUGCCUGAUGGAGGGGGGUAACUACUGGAAACGGUAGCUAAUACCGCAUAACGUCGCAAGACCAAAGAGGGGGACCUUCGGGCCUCUUGCCAUCGGAUGUGCCCAGAUGGGAUUAGCUAGUAGGUGGGGUAACGGCUCACCUAGGCGACGAUCCCUAGCUGGUCUGAGAGGAUGACCAGCCACACUGGAACCGAGACACGGUCCAG